UACAACAGACAAGUAGCAGUUUCAGGAGAGAAAGGAGUAAAAUAAACCUCGACAGACUAGAAAUGUAGUAUGAGAGUAAGUGAAGUGUCAAAGAUAACAUGUAGGUUGCAAGGAACUAAGAGAAUUAUGGUACCCUUGAUGCUAAUGGAAGUUAAAAAGAGAGAAAGAGAAAGAUGGGUUCAAGUUUUGUAUAUGAUGAUUUUAGGAUGUCUCUGAAACAUAUGGUUCAAGAUGACCAGGAGGUUUUUGGAGAUGUGAGACUAAAGGUCAGCAGAAAGCUGGCCCUGGAUAAAUAGAUAAUACCUGAAAAAUCAUCAGGAAAGAGAUACCUGAAUCCAAUGAAAGUGAUUAGAUUCCCAAGCAAAAGGAUGAAGAAGGCCCAGGACAGAGCUCUGAAGGCCACUCAAGUUCUGUAAUAGGGAGCAAAAUGAAAGUAAUAUACUUCUGGUCAAGUGAAGGAAUAUCUAGACAAAGCUUAGCCAUCUGCUGGAACCUAUGCUUCACAUCAAGAAUUCUUAACCAGAGGGAAUAUUCAGAACUGAUGAUAAUCUAAAAAUAAAAGGUAAUGUUUUUAAAAAUAGACACAUGGACCCUUAAGAAAUCAGCAUCAACUCCAUACUACAAUAAAGGCUGAGUUAAGACUUUA